rfam:Bombyx mori DNA, contig: Bm_scaf40_contig23282, strain: p50T/Dazao, build 2, whole genome shotgun sequence.
UUAACUCAAAUUUGUAUGGAGUUGGAACGUUUGCUUACGUUUGCCGCCAGGGGCGCUGUUUCAAUUGUAUACAAGUUUGAGUUA